AGAGUUUGAUCCUGGCUCAGGAUGAACGCUGGCGGCGUGCUUAACACAUGCAAGUCGAACGAACCUUCGGGUUAGUGGCGGACGGGUGAGUAACGCGUGGGAAUCUGCCCUCAGGAGGGGGAUAACGGCUGGAAACGGCCGCUAAUACCCCAUAUGUCGAGAGGUGAAAAGAAAUUCGCCUGAGGAUGAGCCCGCGUCUGAUUAGCUAGUUGGUGGGGUAAGAGCUCACCAAGGCGACGAUCAGUAGCUGGUCUGAGAGGAUGAUCAGCCACACUGGGACUGAGACACGGCCCAGACUCCUACGGGAGGCAGCAGUGGGGAAUUUUCCGCAAUGGGCGAAAGCCUGACGGAGCAACGCCGCGUGAGGGAUGAAGGCCUCUGGGCUGUAAACCUCUUUUCUCAAGGAAGAAGACAUGACGGUACUUGAGGAAUAAGCCACGGCUAAUUCCGUGCCAGCAGCCGCGGUAAUACGGGAGUGGCAAGCGUUAUCCGGAAUUAUUGGGCGUAAAGCGUCCGCAGGCGGCCCUGUAAGUCUGUCGUUAAAGCGUGGAGCUUAACUCCAUUUAAGCGAUGGAAACUACAGGGCUUGAGUGUGGUAGGGGCAGAGGGAAUUCCCGGUGUAGCGGUGAAAUGCGUAGAUAUCGGGAAGAACACCAGUGGCGAAGGCGCUCUGCUGGGCCAUAACUGACGCUCAUGGACGAAAGCCAGGGGAGCGAAAGGGAUUAGAUACCCCUGUAGUCCUGGCCGUAAACGAUGAACACUAGGUGUCGGGGGAAUCGACCCCCUCGGUGUCGUAGCCAACGCGUUAAGUGUUCCGCCUGGGGAGUACGCACGCAAGUGUGAAACUCAAAGGAAUUGACGGGGGCCCGCACAAGCGGUGGAGUAUGUGGUUUAAUUCGAUGCAACGCGAAGAACCUUACCAGGGUUUGACAUCCUGCGAAUCCCUUGGAAACGAGGGAGUGCCUUCGGGAGCGCAGAGACAGGUGGUGCAUGGCUGUCGUCAGCUCGUGUCGUGAGAUGUUGGGUUAAGUCCCGCAACGAGCGCAACCCACGUCUUUAGUUGCCAGCAUUCAGUUGGGCACUCUAGAGAGACCGCCGGUGAUAAACCGGAGGAAGGUGUGGAUGACGUCAAGUCAUCAUGCCCCUUACAUCCUGGGCUACACACGUACUACAAUGCUACGGACAAAGGGCAGCAAGCUCGCGAGAGUUAGCAAAUCCCAUAAACCGUGGCUCAGUUCAGAUCGUAGGCUGCAACUCGCCUACGUGAAGGAGGAAUCGCUAGUAAUCGCAGGUCAGCAUACUGCGGUGAAUACGUUCCCGGGCCUUGUACACACCGCCCGUCACACCAUGGAAGUUGGCCAUGCCCGAAGUCGUUACUCCAACCC
rnacentral:rRNA from 1 species